rnacentral:rRNA from 1 species
ACGAACGCUGGCGGCGUGCUUAACCCAUGCCAGUCGAACGGAAAGGCCCUGCUUUUGUGGGGUGCUCGAGUGGCGAACGGGUGAGUAACACGUGAGUAACCUGCCCUUGACUUUGGGAUAACUUCAGGAAACUGGGGCUAAUACCGGAUAGGAGCUCCUGCUGCAUGGUGGGGGUUGGAAAGUUUCGGCGGUUGGGGAUGGACUAGCGGCUUAUCAGCUUGUUGGUGGGGUAGUGGCUUACCAAGGCUUUGACGGGUAGCCGGCCUGAGAGGGUGACCGGCCACAUUGGAACUGAGAUACGGCCCAGACUCCUACGGGAGGCAGCAGUGGGGAAUAGUGCACAAUGGGCGGAACCCUGAUGCAGCAACGCCGCGUGCGGGAUGACGGCCUUCGGUUUGUAAACCGCUUUCGCCUGUGACGAAGCGUGAGUGACGGUAAUGGGUAAAGAAGCACCGGCUAACUACGUG